rnacentral:rRNA from 1 species
GAUGAACGCUGGCGGCGUGCUUAACACAUGCAAGUCGAACGGUGAACGAGGGAGCUUGCUCCCUCCGGAUCAGUGGCGAACGGGUGAGUAACACGUGAGCAAUCUGCCCUGGACUCUGGGAUAAGCGUUGGAAACGAAGUCUAAUACCGGAUACGAGACGCGAAGGCAUCUUCAGCGUCUGGUAAGAACUUCGGUCCAGGAUGAGCUCGCGGGCUAUCAAGUAGUUGGUGAGGUAACGGCGCACCAAGCCUACGAAGGGUAGCCGGCCGGAGAGGGUGACCGGCCACACUGGGAAUGAGACACGGCCCAGACUCCUACGGGAGGCAGCAGUGGGGAAUAUUGCACAAUGGGCGCAAGCCUGAUGCAGCAACGCCGCGUUAGGGACGACGGCCUUCGGUUUGUAAACCUCUUUUAGCAGGGAAGAAGCGAAAGUGACGGUACCUGCAGAAAAAGCACCGGCUAACUACGUGCCAGCAGCCGCCGUAACAC